AUCAAACAUAUCGAUACAUAAAAAUGGCUAACAAUUUGCAGCAAUCUUUCCUGAACAAAAUCAAACUUCACAAGACUGCUAGGCGCAUUCAAGUGAAAAUACUCCAUUCAUGAAGAUUCUUCAUGAAAGGAAGGAUAUCAUCUUUUGUCGGCAGAAGAUCUGAAGAUUUGAUGGGCUUGGGCCAACUAUUUCAAGCAACAAGUGAUGGGCUGAAACCCAAUUUUUUAAAAUGUCGUUAUGUUGAAAAAAUAUUUAUGCACAAACCGAUAUAUAACAACUCUAAUGUCAGAUAUAAGUUGUAAAAAGAGCAUCAAACAUUCUUUUUUGUUUUAAUUGUCUAUUCUUGAUCAAAAAUAAAACAGUAUUUUUUA